AGAGUUUGAUCAUGGCUCAGAUUGAACGCUGGCGGCAGGCCUAACACAUGCAAGUCGAGCGGUAGCACAGAGAGCUUGCUCUCGGGUGACGAGCGGCGGACGGGUGAGUAAUGUCUGGGAAACUGCCUGAUGGAGGGGGAUAACUACUGGAAACGGUAGCUAAUACCGCAUAACGUCGCAAGACCAAAGUGGGGGACCUUCGGGCCUCAUGCCAUCAGAUGUGCCCAGAUGGGAUUAGCUAGUAGGUGGGGUAACGGCUCACCUAGGCGACGAUCCCUAGCUGGUCUGAGAGGAUGACCAGCCACACUGGAACUGAGACACGGUCCAGACUCCUACGGGAGGCAGCAGUGGGGAAUAUUGCACAAUGGGCGCAAGCCUGAUGCAGCCAUGCCGCGUGUGUGAAGAAGGCCUUCGGGUUGUAAAGCACUUUCAGCGGGGAGGAAGGCGUUAAGGUUAAUAACCUUGGCGAUUGACGUUACCCGCAGAAGAAGCACCGGCUAACUCCGUGCCAGCAGCCGCGGUAAUACGGAGGGUGCAAGCGUUAAUCGGAAUUACUGGGCGUAAAGCGCACGCAGGCGGUCUGUCAAGUCGGAUGUGAAAUCCCCGGGCUCAACCUGGGAACUGCAUUCGAAACUGGCAGGCUAGAGUCUUGUAGAGGGGGGUAGAAUUCCAGGUGUAGCGGUGAAAUGCGUAGAGAUCUGGAGGAAUACCGGUGGCGAAGGCGGCCCCCUGGACAAAGACUGACGCUCAGGUGCGAAAGCGUGGGGAGCAAACAGGAUUAGAUACCCUGGUAGUCCACGCCGUAAACGAUGUCGAUUUGGAGGUUGUGCCCUUGAGGCGUGGCUUCCGGAGCUAACGCGUUAAAUCGACCGCCUGGGGAGUACGGCCGCAAGGUUAAAACUCAAAUGAAUUGACGGGGGCCCGCACAAGCGGUGGAGCAUGUGGUUUAAUUCGAUGCAACGCGAAGAACCUUACCUGGUCUUGACAUCCACAGAACUUUCCAGAGAUGGAUUGGUGCCUUCGGGAACUGUGAGACAGGUGCUGCAUGGCUGUCGUCAGCUCGUGUUGUGAAAUGUUGGGUUAAGUCCCGCAACGAGCGCAACCCUUAUCCUUUGUUGCCAGCGGUCCGGCCGGGAACUCAAAGGAGACUGCCAGUGAUAAACUGGAGGAAGGUGGGGAUGACGUCAAGUCAUCAU
rnacentral:rRNA from 1 species